rnacentral:rRNA from 1 species
CAAGAUAAGAAUUUAAUUUUGGUUCAGAAUGAACGUUAUUCAGUAGUUUAAGACAUGCAAAUCGUUAUUACCUAUAAUCUAUUUUAGAAAAAAGAAUAUUUUAUAUUCUCUAAACUAAACAUAGCUCUGAAAGGAAUAAGGUGUACAGGUGAGUAAUGAUAAAUAUGAUACCUUAUAGUCUCAGUAGAUUAGGGAUAGUUAAGUAAGAAAUAAGAAAGUGUUAAAAGUACAAGGUCUAUCCUAACUGGUUUCGGCCGGAAAUAAUAGGUCUAGUAACAGAUCACUACACUUAAGUCUGAAAGACAAUAACUCAGAUAAACCUCAAAAUGAGAAAACGUCAAGUAAAUGGGAGGUGCUAGCCAAAUUAGUCAAGUAUGACAAAAAGUCUAGCUAAAUGAUUAUAAAAAGGAAUUUUUCCGCUAUAAGAUUCGAUUUAUUUUGUUUAAAGGUAGUUGGUUGGGUAAAAGCCUACCAAGCCUACGAUCAAUAGCCACGCUUAAAUGAGCCUCUGGCCACAUUGGGUCUGAAAAGCCCCAAGUAGAAUUAGCUACCAGCAGUCAAGAAUAUUAGUCAAUGCUCGCAAGAGUGAACUAGCUAACUGAAGUAGUCGAGAUUAGAAUUAAAAAAUAGUUCUUUCCCGAUUAAAAGAUAGCAUAUAACAAUGAUAGAACUAUCUUAAAGUGUUGUCCAAAGCACUGGUGCCAGAAGACUCGGUAAGGCCAGAAACGCGAACGUUAUUCGUCCUGAACAGGCGUAAAGGGUAAGUAGGCGGUUUUUUCACACAAAAAACUAGAAUCUAGAGGAGGAUAAUUAAAAUAAUACCUAGUUUAGGGGUAAUAUCCGCAUAGACUGGGUGGAGUACUAAAGGUGAAAGCUUUUUAUCUAACAAAAGAUUGACGCUCAGAUACGAAGGUGAGGGCAUGGAAUAGGAUUAGAUACCCAGAUACUCCUCACAGUCAAAUAUGAAUGGUAAUCGGUAUUCUCACGGAGGGUACUGGUGCAGUUAUCGCAGAAACCAUUCCGCCUUGCGAGUACGGUUGCAAAACUGAAAGCAAAAAAAUUAGUCGGUCUCGGAGCAAACGGAGUGAAGCAUGUAGAUUAAUACGAUAGUCCGCGUAAAAUCUUACCAGAUCUUGAAUAGCCAUUGAAACUCAUAUACAGGGCCUAACUAUCUGAACUGAUAAUAAGGCUAGGCUUAUCUUUACGACCCUUAGUCGCAUAGAUAAGCUUAUAAUAUUAACGUAUUAUAAUCACUAUGAGUGAAAAUGAGACAUAAUUUAAAAAUAUCAACUAAUACUAAGUUAAGUAACAAAGUAUUAGCAUAAAUUAGAUUGUGCGUUUACAGGUGUUGCAUGGCUGUCGUCAGUUCGUGUUUUGAGAAGUUAGGUUAAUUCCACUAACGGGCGAAAUCCCUGUUGCUAAUUAAAUCUUAGCAAACUUACGAUUGAUGAGAUUGUAAUUUUGGGGCUAAGACAAGUCAUUAUGGCCCUUAUGUUCUGGGCUUCUCAUGUGCCACAAAAGCUUUUACAAAGUGAUGCAAAAACCUAGCCUACAAAAAUGGAAAAUCUAAACCUAAAAAUUUGAGAUUAACAUUUUUACCGUUGAAAAUUUAAUAAAAUAAAUCUAACAAAGGAGGUAUAAAGGCAAAGCUAAUCAUUAAAGAAAGCUAGUUUAAUAAAAAAAAUAGCAGAUUGUCUCCUGUAACUCGGGGGCAUGAAGAAGGAAUUUCGAGUAAUCGUUGAUCACUACGCAACGGUGAACUUUUAAUCCGAGAUGAACUAACUGUCUGUCGCUGGGAAGGAGCUUGUAUGAUCGUAGUUGGGCAGAGGCUUGUUUAUCACCUUCUAAUUAAAAAUAAGAUAAUUCAACCUUAUUAAUUUGAAUUUGGCACGACCGCAAGACUUUAGUCGAGCGCGUCGGUUUUUUGUUUUGUUUGUUUUUAAGGUUUUAUCUUUAGAAUUUUAGUAAUUCUUAUAAACAGAAGUCUCUAUUUAUAAAGUAAAAAGUAUAAAUAGUAGAAAACCGCUUAGAAGCAAUUAACUUGAAGAGUUUGGCGAUAUUGUAUGAGUAACAUCUCAAAAGUCAUAGCAAGGUAGCCGUACUGGAAAGUGCUGCUGGAAAAUAAAAGAA